rnacentral:lncRNA from 1 species
GGCAAAUAAAGUAGCUUGUAAAGGUUUUACUAUUAAGCGACAACCAGUUUGCAAUCAGCCACUGGAAACCCAGGGGGGAAAAAACUGGAGUAAUAACACGUGUUUCCUGCUUUACAGUGAUUACCAAGUAGUUUUUGCAACUGCUUCUUGUUCCACCAAAUAUGUCACGACAAAGAAAUGCAAUGUUAAAAUGAAUGCGGAAAAAGAAAGGAUGUAGUUGAAGAAACAAAAAGUGUGCAUCCGUCUCAAGAUAACGCUAACCUUGAGAGUCAUCUCCACUGGGCCGCCUAAAGUCCCCAGGGCGGAGGGCGCUAUAGAGGGCGCCUCUCGGAAGCCACAGGUUGAACGACAAAGAGCCCCCGCCAGCAGCAGUCCCGAAGGUGGCGGGCUGGCCAGCCCUGUGCGCUCCAUUCGAACCCUGCAGUCCAGCCUUGGCUGUGGGCAAUGCAGCUCCUCACACCAGUCUCAAGUCACCAGGUGGGACAAGGGCUGGCAGGCUGAGAAGGUUGGGGCGGGCAUGCCACGAGUCCAAAAUAACUCCCGCCCCGAGUCCCUUCCCUGGGACCAGAAGGCGGCGGGAGAGUCCGGAGGGACCACGUGAAUCGGCCCCAGGUCGCCCCUUUUCUAAAUCAAAGCAUCUCUCCGGGAGCCUACAGAGGGCCAGAGGGGAAGCGACUCCCCAAGGUCACCGGGCACCAUGACUCGACUCUUCGGUCAGGUCAGUGGCCGACACCUGACCACGGGGCCCGUGGAUCGGCUGGAAGACGCAGUCCCCAGCACCUCCAGGUCCCCUUCAGCAAGACCACGCAGCAUCAUCAAGAGAUCUCUCCAGAGGGAGGCUGCAGCUGAUCAGAUGUAUCCAGUGUUCUCUGUCUGCACACCAGGAGCUUUGAGUCCACUUGUGAUUCUCUCCAUCCUGCAAAAAGGAGCUGAAAAGUGGGCCUUGAGAGGCAGGGGCUUCCAUUCUCAUUGUGCUGUCCCAGUGUGGUGGCCCAAUAGUGCUGGAAAAAUUCUGCACCCCCAGCAUUUGCCUGUACCCUGGAAGUACUGAGAAGAGAAGGGGAGAGGAGUUAUUCUGUGCCAUUCUCCCCUGUGAUCUGCUGUGAAAGGUGUUGUGUGGCAUAUGCAGGCAGUGGAGCAGCCUUACUUUGACUUUAAGCUCUGUAGUGACCCUGGGUCCAYGGGUUCUAGGAGCAACUGUCCUCCUCUAAG